AUGCUACUGAACCGCAUGCACGGGGUGAGGAAAAAAAAGACGCCACCCAGUUAUCCUCCUCGUCCCCAUGCGCAUUCCCCAAUCCCUCCCACCUUCUUCCUCCCCUGCUCGUGCCCGGUUGACCAACUUCCUUCCCGCAUCGGAGCCCCACCAGAGCAACCCCGCCGCCGGCCAUUGCGCCCCAGCCCACCUCGCACCGCCACUGCCCCUCCCGCGCCGCGCAACUCUCCCCUACGCUGGAUCCAUGGUGGCCACGGCCCUCCCGCGCCGCCCAACUCUCCCCUACGCCGGAUCCAUUGCGGCCACGGCCCUCCCGCGCCGCCCAACUCUCCCCUACGCCGGAUCCAUGGCGGCCACGGCCCUCCCGCGCCGCCCAUCCUCUCCAACACCGGAUCCAUGGAGGCCACAACCCCUCCCGUGCACUGUCGGCGAUGGAUCCGGGCACUACCGCCAGGCCGCUCAAGGACGGCGAUGAAUCGGACCUCCACCGCCACCCCGCGAAUGGCCGACGAUGGAUCUGGGCACCAUCUUCACCCGUCACGCCGCCCCUCGCCGGCGACGGAGCAAGCGGCUCCACUUCGGUAUAGGCUCCGGCGCCGCCCUUCCCCGACCAAAUCAACCUGCUGCUGCUGCCUCUCAUCUUCUUCGGGCUUGCCUCCCAUGGCCUUCCCACGUGCACUGUCUCCUCGCCGGCGGCUGCGCCCACCACCUCUCCGUGGCCCCUCUUUGGUUCUCCUCCUGCUAGCAAGCCGGCUCAGGCAGCACGCUCCAGCCAUGGUGAGCCUCCCGCGUGUGCCUGUGCAGUGCACGGUUCCUCGAGGUGCAGUGCGGCGGGUGUGCGUGCACCCCAGGUCAAAGCAACAGUGCAGUAAUGAGGAUGGAAGCGCAGGUGGCAGUGCACGGUGA
rnacentral:rRNA from 1 species